AGCGGCGGAUGGGUGAGUAACACGUGGGGAACCUGCCCCUAAGUCUGGGAUACCAUUUGGAAACAGGUGCUAAUACCGGAUAAUAAAGCAGAUCGCAUGAUCAGCUUUUGAAAGGCGGCGUAAGCUGUCGCUAAGGGAUGGCCCCGCGGUGCAUUAGCUAGUUGGUAAGGUAACGGCUUACCAAGGCGACGAUGCAUAGCCGAGUUGAGAGACUGAUCGGCCACAUUGGGACUGAGACACGGCCCAAACUCCUACGGGAGGCAGCAGUAGGGAAUCUUCCACAAUGGACGCAAGUCUGAUGGAGCAACGCCGCGUGAGUGAAGAAGGUUUUCGGAUCGUAAAGCUCUGUUGUUGGUGAAGAAGGAUAGAGGUAGUAACUGGCCUUUAUUUGACGGUAAUCAACCAGAAAGUCACGGCUAACUACGUGCCAGCAGCCGCGGUAAUACGUAGGUGGCAAGCGUUGUCCGGAUUUAUUGGGCGUAAAGCGAGCGCAGGCGGAAAAAUAAGUCUAAUGUGAAAGCCCUCGGCUUAACCGAGGAACUGCAUCGGAAACUGUUUUUCUCGAGUGCAGAAGAGGAGAGUGGAACUCCAUGUGUAGCGGUGGAAUGCGUAGAUAUAUGGAAGAACACCAGUGGCGAAGGCGGCUCUCUGGUCUGCAACUGACGCUGAGGCUCGAAAGCAUGGGUAGCGAACAGGAUUAGAUACCCUGGUAGUCCAUGCCGUAAACGAUGAGUGCUAAGUGU
rnacentral:rRNA from 1 species